GCCUAGUUGCCAGCAUUUAGUUGGGCACUCUAAGGGGACUGCCGUGAUAAGCCGAGAGGAAGGUGGGAUGACGUCAAGUCCUCAUGGCCCUUACGGGCUGGGCUACACACGUGCUACAAUGGUGGUGACAGUGGGCAGCGAGACCGCGAGGUCGAGCUAAUCUCCAAAAGCCAUCUCAGUUCGGAUUGCACUCUGCAACUCGAGUGCAUGAAGUUGGAAUCGCUAGUAAUCGCAGAUCAGCAUGCUGCGGUGAAUACGUUCCCGGGCCUU
rnacentral:rRNA from 1 species